AGGAUGAACGCUGGCGGUCUGCUUAACACAUGCAAGUCGAACGGAGUAGCAAUACUUAGUGGCGGACGGGUGAGUAACGCGUGAGAAUCUACCUUCAGGACGGAGACAACAGUUGGAAACGACUGCUAACCCCCGAUGUACCGAAAGGGCAAAUAUUUAUAGCCUGAAGAAGAGCUCGCGUCCGAUUAGCUAGUUGGAGAGGUAAAAAGCUCACCAAGGCGACGAUCGGUAGCUGGUCUGAGAGGACGAUCAGCCACACUGGGACUGAGACACGGCCCAGACUCCUACGGGAGGCAGCAGUGGGGAAUUUUCCGCAAUGGGCGAAAGCCUGACGGAGCGACGCCGCGUGUGGGAAGAAGGCCUUCGGGUCGUAAACCACUGUCGAAGGGACGAUAAUGACGGUACCCUUGGAGGAAGCCCGGCUAACUACGCGCCAGCAGCCGC
rnacentral:rRNA from 1 species